UGGGGAAUAUUGGACAAUGGGCGAAAGCCUGAUCCAGCCAUGCCGCGUGUGUGAAGAAGGUCUUCGGAUUGUAAAGCACUUUAAGUUGGGAGGAAGGGCAGUAAGCGAAUACCUUGCUGUUUUGACGUUACCGACAGAAUAAGCACCGGCUAACUCUGUGCCAGCAGCCGCGGUAAUACAGAGGGUGCAAGCGUUAAUCGGAAUUACUGGGCGUAAAGCGCGCGGAGGUGGUUCGUUAAGUUGAAUGUGAAAGCCCCGGGCUCAACCUGGGAACUGCAUCCAAAACUGGCGAGCUAGAGUAGGGCAGAGGGUGGUGGAAUUUCCUGUGUAGCGGUGAAAUGCGUAGAUAUAGGAAGGAACACCAGUGGCGAAGGCGACCACCUGGGCUCAUACUGACACUGAGGUGCGAAAGCGUGGGGAGCAAACAGG
rnacentral:rRNA from 1 species